AGCAGCCGCGGUAAUUCCAGCUCCAAUAGCGUAUAUUAAAGUUGUUGCAGUUAAAAAGCUCGUAGUUGAAUUUCGGGGUCAGCAGGUUGGUCGUGCCAAUGGUAUGCACUGGCCUUGCUGAUUCCUCCCUCUUGAUGAGCCGUAAUGUCAUUAAUUUGGUGUUGCGGGGAAUCAGGACUGUUACUUUGAAAAAAUUAGAGUGUUUAAAGCAGGCAAGCGCUUGAAUACAUUAGCAUGGAAUAAUGAAAUAGGACGUUCCAUCCUAUUUUGUUGGUUUCUAGGAUUGACGUAAUGAUUAAUAGGGAUAGUUGGGGGCAUUAGUAUUCAAUUGUCAGAGGUGAAAUUCUUGGAUUUAUUGAAGACUAACUACUGCGAAAGCAUUUGCCAAGGAUGUUUUCAUUAAUCAAGAACGAAAGUUAGGGGAUCGAAGACGAUCAGAUACCGUCGUAGUCUUAACCAUAAACUAUGCCGACUAGGAUCGGAUGAUGUUAAUUUUUUAAUGUAA
rnacentral:rRNA from 1 species